CUAGGAAUAUCCACUGAGCAACAAUGGCAAACACAUCUUCAUCGAUGGCCCCUUAGGACGUCCGCCUCCUCGACUCUACCUUCGGUCCUCCUCGGCUCCUCCUUGACUGCCUUUUACCUUUGGCAAGGCUAAGAAUACUCUGUUACUUGCUGCAAAUCCCCUCUUUGGCCUCUUUCAUCAAACCAGAGAUGGAAUUUCUGGAGAAGUAUGAAGCAAAGAGCUUUGCUUUGGGCAACCGAAGCUUUUUGUUGGAAUGAUUCUUAUUCUCAUUUUUGCUGAGGCAUUGGCUUUGUACGGCCUUAUUGUUGGCAUCAUUCUCUCUUCUCGAGCCGGUCAAUCCAGAGUGGAUUAAAGGAAGAAGAGGUGUCCUGCCCGGGGCAUCCCUUUGUGAAUUCUCUAUACACAAGUUUACGGCUAGAUUAGAAACCAUCUUCGUGAAGCUGAAGCCUACGGUUAUAAUGCAUGCUUUUGAUACACUGGUUCUGCAUUUCUGAACUUGCUACCAUAGGUUUACUGUUGAAGGUUGUUGUGGUCUUUGUGCUCGGAUUGCAUUUGCUUGAAAAGUAUCAUUUUCUUUGAUUUUAACCAUAAACUAUGGUUUUAAGCUGGGGCGAUUGAGAUUGUUGUAUGUAAGAUCAGAGUUGCUUGACGGUCGUCUUGAUGCCCUGCCCUCCUGCUUAACCUUGAAGUUUUGUAUGCUAUGAGGAUCAAAAUUUGUAGUGGGUAGGUCCAGAUUUUCUUUUGCAUUUUUUUUUUUGGUGGCCGCACAUUCCUCUGGCUACUUUGCCCGCAUGAGACAUCUACUUGAACUCAGCCUGCCUCUUAUAAUCAUGUAAUAAAAAUUUUAGAGUUGAGAAUGGUAA